GGGUGAGGGACGGCUCUUGGAUUGUUUCAGCUAGUCAUGAUGCCCACUGAAGAUAGCUUGUUUCCCAUUCAUCACAGCUAUUCCUACCUGAGAAAAUUGGAAACCCAGAUUAUGACGUCUCUCUUAAGCAUUCAAACGGCAGCGGUGAUGUCGGCGACUGGGACAACGGUUGUGACACCAUCAUUGGGCUUUGCUGUUGUUGUGGAGGAGCUAGGCUCAUCCACCGGGGAGAAACCAGCGGCACCAAUGGUGGAAGAAACCAGGGUGCAAACCAACGGUUGUUGUUGUGGCUACCGGGAAAGGCAACAAGAGAGAGAGAGGAGCAUGUGUUGUUCAUAAGAGUUCCUUUUUAAUAAGAAAAUGGUGUUGUUCAAUAACAAAAACGGUGUAGUUUUGUUUCAAACAUUGG